GGCUGCUUGACGGGACCCGCUGAUACCGCCUCAUAUGUGCGGGUGACAGGAGCACGGCCUGCAGGGUGCAUGGAAAAGAAGGGGCCCGACAUGCGAGGGGAAGUGCUUUUCAGCUCUGCAGGUGUAAUGAAGCUGAAGAAUCGACUGUGUGGAAGAGGGGCAGUGAGACGGAAGACAGACCCUUGGAGGACUGCUAAAAGCCUGCCUUCGCUCUCUCCUCCACCCCCUCACCUCUCCCAAGCACAGGAGGACAACGCUGAGGGAUCACAGUCAGUUUUUCUAUAAACAAAAUGGGUUGACUUCAGAAUCAGUGCUAUUCCUGGUCAGCAACCUUCCAUUUUCCAUGAGGUCAGAAGGAGUGAAACUAACUAUGCAAAGGGAUUGCCUUCGUCCUUGAUAUAUCAUAGCAGAGAGGCCUUCCAUUAUAGUGAAGACAGGAUGGUUUACACUGGCAGGAAAAGCGGUGAUAAUAUUUUACAACAAAAUGCUUGUGUCCAAACUGUAUUUGCUGCUCUGCUUCAUGGUGGAAUUUUGGAAUGUUUUCUACUUCAGUAGUCAUGCUGGCUGCUAUGGUUUGCAUUUGCAUCGUUUCCACAAAAAUCCUGCAGUAUUAAUUUGCAGUUUGUCACCCAAAGCUGUGUUCUGGCAGUAAUCAAAAGGUUCCCGUAAGAUG